rnacentral:rRNA from 1 species
GGGCCCGCACAAGCGGUGGAGCAUGUGGUUUAAUUCGAUGCAACGCGAAGAACCUUACCUACCCCUUGACAUCCUCAGAACUUGUCAGAAAUGACUUGGUGCCUUCGGGAACUGAGUGACAGGUGCUGCAUGGCUGUCGUCAGCUCGUGUCGUGAGAUGUUGGGUUAAGUCCCGUAACGAGCGCAACCCUCGUCCCUUAGUUGCCAGCGAGUAAUGUCGGGAACUCUAAGGAGACUGCCGGUGAUAAACCGGAGGAAGGUGGGGAUGAUGUCAAGUCAUCAGUGGGCCCCUUACGGGUAGGGCUACACACGUGCUACAAUGGCAGUAACAAAGGGUUGGCAACCGCGAGGUGGAGCU